rnacentral:tRNA from 1 species
GAAAUAUUUUUUUUAAGCUGCUAACUUAAUUUAAGUGAUUAACAUCAUUAUAUUUCU